rnacentral:rRNA from 1 species
UACGGGAGUGGCAAGCGUUAUCCGGAAUUAUUGGGCGUAAAGCGUCCGCAGGCGGCCUUUUAAGUCUGUUGUUAAAGCGUGGAGCUUAACUCCAUUUGAGCAAUGGAAACUGGAAGGCUUGAGUGUGGUAGGGGCAGAGGGAAUCCCCGGUGUAGCGGUGAAAUGCGUAGAUAUCGGGAAGAACACCAGUGGCGAAGGCGCUCUGCUGGGCCAUAACUGACGCUCAUGGACGAAAGCCAGGGGAGCGAAAGGGAUUAGAUACCCCUGUAGUCCUGGCCGUAAACGAUGAACACUAGGUGUCGGGGGAAUCGACCCCCUCGGUGUCGUAGCCAACGCGUUAAGUGUUCCGCCUGGGGAGUACGCACGCAAGUGUGAAACUCAAAGGAAUUGACGGGGGCCCGCACAAGCGGUGGAGUAUGUGGUUUAAUUCGAUGCAACGCGAAGAACCUUACCAGGGUUUGACAUCCUGCGAAUCCCUUGGAAACGAGGGAGUGCCUUCGGGAGCGCAGUGACAGGUGGUGCAUGGCUGUCGUCAGCUCGUGUCGUGAGAUGUUGGGUUAAGUCCCGCAACGAGCGCAACCCACGUCGUUAGUUGCCAGCAUUCAGUUGGGCACUCUAGCGAGACCGCCGGUGAUAAACCGGAGGAAGGUGUGGAUGACGUCAAGUCAUCAUGCCCCUUACAUCCUGGGCUACACACGUACUACAAUGCUACGGACAAAGGGCAGCAAACUCGCGAGAGCUAGCAAAUCCCAUAAACCGUGGCUCAGUUCAGAUCGUAGGCUGCAACUCGCCUACGUGAAGGAGGAAUCGCUAGUAAUCGCAGGUCAGCAUACUGCGGUGAAUACGUUCCCGGGCCU